CUACACAUGCAGUCGACGAUGAACCUCACUUGUGGGGGGAUUAGUGGCGAACGGGUGAGUAACACGUGAGUAACCUGCCCUUGACUCUGGGAUAAGCCUGGGAAACCGGGUCUAAUACUGGAUACGACCUUCUGGCGCAUGCCAUGUUGGUGGAAAGCUUUUGUGGUUUUGGAUGGACUCGCGGCCUAUCAGCUUGUUGGUGGGGUAAUGGCCUACCAAGGCGACGACGGGUAGCCGGCCUGAGAGGGUGACCGGCCACACUGGGACUGAGACACGGCCCAGACUCCUACGGGAGGCAGCAGUGGGGAAUAUUGCACAAUGGGCGCAAGCCUGAUGCAGCGACGCCGCGUGAGGGAUGAAGGCCUUCGGGUUGUAAACCUCUUUCAGUAGGGAAGAAGCUGGUCCUUCGGGGUUGGUGACGGUACCUGCAGAAGAAGCGCCGGCUAACUACGUGCCAGCAGCCGCGGUAAUACGUAGGGCGCAAGCGUUAUCCGGAAUUAUUGGGCGUAAAGAGCUCGUAGGCGGUUUGUCGCGUCUGCCGUGAAAGUCCGGGGCUUAACUCCGGAUC
rnacentral:rRNA from 1 species